CAGGAUGAACGCUGGCGGCGUGCCUAAUACAUGCAAGUCGAACGAGUUCUGAUUAUUGAAAGGUGCUUGCAUCUUGAUUUAAUUUUGAACGAGUGGCGGACGGGUGAGUAACACGUGGGUAACCUGCCCUUAAGUGGGGGAUAACAUUUGGAAACAGAUGCUAAUACCGCAUAAAUCCAAGAACCGCAUGGUUCUUGGCUGAAAGAUGGCGUAAGCUAUCGCUUUUGGAUGGACCCGCGGCGUAUUAGCUAGUUGGUGAGGUAACGGCUCACCAAGGCAAUGAUACGUAGCCGAACUGAGAGGUUGAUCGGCCACAUUGGGACUGAGACACGGCCCAAACUCCUACGGGAGGCAGCAGUAGGGAAUCUUCCACAAUGGACGCAAGUCUAAUGGAGCAACGCCGCGUGAGUGAAGAAGGCUUUCGGGUCGUAAAACUCUGUUGUUGGAGAAGAAUGGUCGGCAGAGUAACUGUUGUCGGCGUGACGGUAUCCAACCAGAAAGCCACGGCUAACUACGUGCCAGCAGCCGCGGUAAUACGUAGGUGGCAAGCGUUAUCCGGAUUUAUUGGGCGUAAAGCGAGCGCAGGCGGUUUUUUAAGUCUGAUGUGAAAGCCCUCGGCUUAACCGAGGAAGUGCAUCGGAAACUGGGAAACUUGAGUGCAGAAGAGGACAGUGGAACUCCAUGUGUAGCGGUGAAAUGCGUAGAUAUAUGGAAGAACACCAGUGGCGAAGGCGGCUGUCUGGUCUGUAACUGACGCUGAGGCUCGAAAGCAUGGGUAGCGAACAGGAUUAGAUACCCUGGUAGUCCAUGCCGUAAACGAUGAAUGCUAGGUGUUGGAGGGUUUCCGCCCUUCAGUGCCGCAGCUAACGCAUUAAGCAAUCCGCCUGGGGAGUACGACCGCAAGGUUGAAACUCAAAGGAAUUGACGGGGGCCCGCACAAGCGGUGGAGCAUGUGGUUUAAUUCGAAGCAACGCGAAGAACCUUACCAGGUCUUGACAUCUUUUGAUCACCUGAGAGAUCAGGUUUCCCCUUCGGGGGCAAAAUGACAGGUGGUGCAUGGUUGUCGUCAGCUCGUGUCGUGAGAUGUUGGGUUAAGUCCCGCAACGAGCGCAACCCUUAUGACUAGUUGCCAGCAUUUAGUUGGGCACUCUAGUAAGACUGCCGGUGACAAACCGGAGGAAGGUGGGGAUGACGUCAAAUCAUCAUGCCCCUUAUGACCUGGGCUACACACGUGCUACAAUGGAUGGUACAACGAGUUGCGAGACCGCGAGGUCAAGCUAAUCUCUUAAAGCCAUUCUCAGUUCGGACUGUAGGCUGCAACUCGCCUACACGAAGUCGGAAUCGCUAGUAAUCGCGGAUCAGCACGCCGCGGUGAAUACGUUCCCUGGCCUUGUACACA
rnacentral:rRNA from 1 species